rnacentral:rRNA from 1 species
UAGGGAAUAUUGCUCAAUGGGCGAAAGCCUGAAGCAGCAACGCCGCGUGUGCGAUGAAGGUCUUCGGAUCGUAAAGCACUUUUCUGCGAGAUGAGAAAGGACAGUAUCGUAGGAAUAAGUCUCGGCUAACUACGUGCCAGCAGCCGCGGUAACACGUAGGAGGCGAGCGUUAUCCGGAUUCACUGGGCGUAAAGCGCGUGCAGGCGGUUUGGUAAGUUGGGCGUGAAAGCUCCCGGGCUCAACUGGGAGAGGUCGUUCAAUACUACCGAACUAGAGAGUAGAAGAGGAAGAUGGAAUUCCCGGUGUAGUGGUGAAAUGCGUAGAUAUCGGGAGGAACACCAGUGGCGAAGGCGAUCUUCUGGUCUACUUCUGACGCUCAGACGCGACAGCUAGGGUAGUAAACGGGAUUAGAGACCCCGGGUAAUCCUAGCCGUAAACGAUGUGAACUUGGCGUCGGUGGCUUAAAC